UUCCUACGGGAGGCAGCAGUAAGGAAUAUUGGUCAAUGGGGGGAACCCUGAACCAGCCAUGCCGCGUGCAGGAAGACGGCCCUACGGGUUGUAAACUGCUUUUGCACGGGAAUAACCCCCGGUAUGUAUACCGGGCUGAAUGUACCGUGAGAAUAAGGAUCGGCUAACUCCGUGCCAGCAGCCGCGGUAAUACGGAGGAUCCGAGCGUUAUCCGGAAUUAUUGGGUUUAAAGGGUGCGUAGGCGGCGCGCUAAGUCAGGGGUGAAAGACGGUGGCUCAACCAUCGCAGUGCCUUUGAUACUGGCGCGCUUGAAUGUACCUGAGGUAGGCGGAAUGUGGCAAGUAGCGGUGAAAUGCAUAGAUAUGCCACAGAACACCGAUUGCGAAGGCAGCUUACCAAAGUACGAUUGACGCUGAGGCACGAAAGCGUGGGGAUCGAACAGGAUUAGAUACCCUGGUAGUCCACGCCCUAAACGAUGAACACUCGAUGUCGGCGAUAGACGGUCGGCGUCCAAGCGAAAGCGUUAAGUGUUCCACCUGGGGAGUACGCCCGCAAGGGUGAAACUCAAAGGAAUUGACGGGGGCCCGCACAAGCGGAGGAGCAUGUGGUUUAAUUCGAUGAUACGCGAGGAACCUUACCCGGGCUUGAAAGUUACUGAAUUGUCCAGAGAUGGACAAGUCCUUCGGGACAGGAAACUAGGUGCUGCAUGGUUGUCGUCAGCUC
rnacentral:rRNA from 1 species